UUAAGUCCCAAGGCCGAUCAGGCCAUAUGAUGACUCAUCAGUUCCAAGUCAUGUGAGGAAGAUUGGUUGAUUGACUUAGGAUUUAAUGAGCUUUGUCAGUCCAGAAGAUGGACUUGGUACAAUCGCCUAUAAGGCAAAAGGAUUUUGGAUUGUGCAUGAGCCGAGAAAGGCCAGAUGCAAACCCUUAUCCUUUAAAAGACAUCUCAAAGGUUACUUAUGUCUGUGGGGAAUGGAACGUCAGAAUCGUAUGGACUGGUUUGGGUUUAGGAUUGACCUUUAAGCUAAUUGGUAGUUGAGUAAACUGACCAAGGCUAAGGUGAUUCGACCAGAAAAGUGUUAGAUUGGUUUUAGACCAAUGGUUAACUAGAGAAUAAUCCGCUGCAUAUCUGUUGAAAGGAUCUAAGCUAUUAAUGACUAGGAAAGUCUUUAGCUAAGAUAUAAGUUAGCCGUCGCGUUUAGGUGAUAUUAUAAAUAAAGGGCAAAAAUUAAGAGGUUCGGCCAGGAAG
rnacentral:lncRNA from 1 species